GCCGACCGCCUGCUGCAGGCUGUGUUCGGAAGCCUGGAUGAGUUUGUCUGCCCAGAAGAGGUGCUUGGAGGUCUGCACGCGGAUGGAGCGAUGGUUGGCGGACGCCCUGCCUUCCUCGGCAGCACUCAGGCUUCUAGUUGGACCAUUGCAGCCACAUUUCCCUCCAGCUCGGGCUUCUUAAAGACCCCAGAGUGAGCCCGCAGCACCACACCUGCCUUCCGUCCCAUCCAGACUGCAGAGUGGCUUCAAAGAUCCUGUGUCGUCUGACCUCUGCUCUCUUUUGGCAUCUCCUGGUAUCCAGCCCCAAAGCCCGCUCCCCCAGAGCACAGCAGGCGGGCCCUUUUGUGCCUGAGUGCCUUUGCACAGGCUACUUCAGAUACCAAGAAAGUCUCUCUUCUGGAAAAAUCCUACUCACUCCUGACAGGCCAACUCACGUCUCCUGAGUCCUCUUCUCUGUGACGCACCUAGCUGUCUAACCCACAUUUUAAUUUUUAGUGAACUCAUCAGACUCAGGGCCUAACACAAGGGCUGAAGGGGGUGCCGUAAAUGUCACAGGAGCGAUUUAAGGUGUCUGCAUCGAUUUGUUACUCCACAAGUUUGGGAAAGGGGAAAAGCUCUCUGGUUGUUGGCUCUUGGCACAUUUUUAAUGCUGGCCUGUGUCCUCCUGGGAGAGAAGGUCCCCAUUUCAGUGGAAACCGCUUUGCCCCGUUGGUACGGAGAAGAGUGCAAAGGACAAAGGAGGCGCUCAGUAUCUGUUGAAGCCCACUGCUUCUCCCUGCAAAGGCUCCAAUCCUCAGGAACGACUGAAAGGGAUUUUAGGGUCAUCAGCAGUUUGGGAUAAUUCGUGAGUUGUUUCCUGGGCACAAGGCCACUCUUGGCGUGUGCCCAGAAACCCCUUCAAGAUUCUGCUGAAUCUGUGGCCUGUACUCCCAGGUGCUCAUGUGAGCCCUGGCGCACAAGCUCGUGCGCCGCGCAAGGCCCAGGCCGGGCGUGGCAGUCAGAGGGCGGAGGACUGUUGGCUGGGGUCGUCCUUCCUUCUAGGCGGUCCGGGGCUUUGGGGGCAGGGGGGAGGGGCCCCGGGCCGAAUCCCCGCCUCUGCUCUGCGCCCCGCCCCUCCCCCUUUCCCCGCCCCGCCCGCCUGGAAGAAUCCCUCCGCGCCCGGCCCAGCCGCGCGCCAGCCCACUCCCACCUGUCACCCCCAUGCUGACCGAGGCUCUGCCAGCGGGCUGCUGGCUGCUGCCCCUCCGCCUCCAGUGAGCGCUUUGGUUGGGGGUUGGGGGGGGGGCGCCGGCGCCUGUGAUGUCGCCGCCUCUGUGACGUCCCUGCCGCGACCCUCCCGCGGACAGGGAACCGCGCUCAGGAUUCCCGGCUCACGGGCGGGGCGGCCCUUGGGAGGUGUCCUCCGGAGAAGGCUGUCCCACCCUCGCAGCCCCAGCCCUCUCCAAAGACGCAGGACUGCUUGGCUCUUCCCAGCAGUCCCAGAGAGGGCCGCGACCGAGUUCUCUACAACCUGAACUCUGCAGUACCAAGGCUGGAGAUCUUCAUGUCCUGGGGGCUGGGGGUCCCUCCAUGGGGAGGAGAAUGGCUCGAUGUGGAUAGCUGGACAGACGCCGCCUUGGCAAGACACGGGGACGAGCUUCUCCCAAGGAGGGAUCUCAGGGGCCACCCCUAACCCCCAGAAGCGGAGGCUGGCAGGCCCCCACACAAUGAUUCACAGUUGAUUAAUGCUA